rnacentral:rRNA from 1 species
AGAUUGAACGCUGGCGGCAUGCUUUACACAUGCAAGUCGGAACGGCAGCGGCGGGGCAACCCUGGCGGCGAGUGGCGAACGGGUGAGUAAUGUAUCGGAACGUAUCCUGUAAUGGGGGAUAACCAGUCGAAAGAUUGGGUAAUACCGCAUACGCACGAGAGUGGAAAGUAGGGGAUCGCAAGACCUUACGUUAUAGGAGCGGCCGAUAUCUGAUUAGCUAGUUGGUGGGGUAAAGGCCUACCAAGGCGACGAUCAGUAGCUGGUCUGAGAGGACGACCAGCCACACUGGGACUGAGACACGGCCCAGACUCCUACGGGAGGCAGCAGUGGGGAAUUUUGGACAAUGGGCGAAAGCCUGAUCCAGCCAUGCCGCGUGCAGGAAGAAGGCCUUCGGGUUGUAAACUGCUUUAGUCUAGGAAAAAGGGGUGCGAGGUUAAUACCCUCGUGCUUUGAUGGUACUGGAAGAAUAAGCACCGGCUAACUACGUG